UCAUGGCUCAGGAUGAACGCUAGCUACAGGCUUAACACAUGCAAGUCGAGGGGCAGCACAGUGUAGCAAUACACGGGUGGCGACCGGCGCACGGGUGCGUAACGCGUAUCCAACUUUCCCGUUACUCUCGGAUAGCCUUCCGAAAGGGAGAUUAAUACCUGAUGAUGUUCAAAUUCCGCAUGUUAUUUGAACUAAAGAUUCAUCGGUAACGGAUGGGGAUGCGUGACAUUAGAUAGUAGGCGGGGUAACGGCCCACCUAGUCUACGAUGUCUAGGGGUUCUGAGAGGAAGGUCCCCCACACUGGAACUGAGACACGGUCCAGACUCCUACGGGAGGCAGCAGUGAGGAAUAUUGGUCAAUGGACGAGAGUCUGAACCAGCCAAGUAGCGUGCAGGAUGACGGCCCUCUGGGUUGUAAACUGCUUUUAGUUGGGAAUAAAAAGAGGGACGUGUCCCUAAUUGUAUGUACCAUCAGAAAAAGGACCGGCUAAUUCCGUG
rnacentral:rRNA from 1 species